GUUCGACUCGAGCGCCAGCGAGARAGCGUUGCCGCAGGCAACGACCCGAAGGGUGAAGCGCGCAGCGCUGAGUAAUCCUUCCCCCACCACCA
rnacentral:sRNA from 1 species